AGAGGUGAGAGCAAUAUGACUGUGACAUCUAUCACCCUGUUGAUUGCCAGGGUUGGCUUGAUCUGCUCUUCUGGCGGCCCAAGUGGAUGUCCCCUUCCUCCAUCAACCUCUCCACAUGUGCUGAAUUUGCGUCGUCAGUGGGGAAAGGUGAGCUUCCUCCAUCGAGGAAGACCAUUCUCCAGUCAAGGAUAGAGGAGCCAUGCUCACCUGCUAGGACCACCAGAAAAUCUCUGAUGGUCCUUUUACAGGAGAACAGGGGUGCUUAGGGUUCCAGAGAGACAUAUCCAGAUGAGGGGCUGUGCCUGGUGGUAUCUGUGGCUU
rnacentral:snRNA from 1 species